GCCCGCAUGGGUCAGUGGUAGAGCGCAUCACUAGUAAUGAUGUCAGUUCGAUUCUGGCUGUGGGCA
rnacentral:tRNA from 1 species